rnacentral:rRNA from 1 species
GAUGAACGCUGGCGGCAUGCCUAAUACAUGCAAGUCGAACGAGAGGAAGGAGAGCUUGCUUUUCUGAAUCUAGUGGCGAACGGGUGAGUAACACGUAGGUAACCUGCCCAUGUGCCCGGGAUAACUUCUGGAAACGGAUGCUAAAACCGGAUAGGUAGCAGACAAGCAUUUGACUGCUAUUAAAGUGGCUAAGGCCAUGAACAUGGAUGGACCUGCGGUGCAUUAGCUAGUUGGUGAGGUAACGGCCCACCAAGGCGACGAUGCAUAGCCGGCCUGAGAGGGGGGACGGCCAAAUUGGGACUGAGAAACGGCCCAAAAUCCUACGGGAGGCAGCAGUAGGGAAUUUUCGUCAAUGGGGGGAACCCUGAACGAGCAAUGCCGCGUGAGUGAGGAAGGUCGUCGGAUCGUAAAGCUCUGUUGUAAGAGAAAAACGACAUUCAUAGGGAAUGAUGAGUGAGUGAUGGUAUCUUACCAGAAAGUCACGGCUAACUACGUGCCAGCCGCCGCAGUAA